CAGGUCCAGGGGGACAGAACUUGGACCUGUCCUGUGGGGCCUCCUCAGCCUCCCACACACCCCUCGGUGCUUGUAACGGUCUCUGUCCUGGCCAGGAGGCAGCCCAGGAUUCACGCAGAGCCUGUGCCUCUCAGGCGGGCUGUUGCUGCCCUGGGUCUGCCAUGUCGCUCAUGGGACUACAUUGGAUUGUUACGUGCCUGGCCCCUCUCUGAGCUGUGGUGCCUCGAGAGGCAGCUGUGACCUACUGGCCUUCACAUCUCCCCAUGGAGGGGACAUUGUUACAGGCGCCUUGAGCAGCCUGGGGAGGGGAGUUGGGGCCGGGAACCUGGAAGGGGAGGAGGGUGCCCCAGGCCUCGGGGCACAGUGAGUCCCUCGCCCCACAGACAUCCAGUACCAGGAGAACUUCUAUGCCUGGAGCGCCCCGGGGGUCGGCCGGUUCGUGGCCUCCAUGGCCGCCUCAGGGUGCGCCUACCUCAUCCUGCUCUUCCUCAUCGAGACCAACCUGCUUCAGAGACUCAGGGGCAUCCUCUGCGCCCUCCGGAGGAGGCGGACACUGACAGAAUUAUACACCCGGAUGCCUGUGCUUCCUGAGGACCAAGACGUAGCGGACGAGAGGACCCGCAUCCUGGCCCCCAGCCCGGACUCCCUGCUCCACACACCUCUGAUUAUCAAGGAGCUCUCCAAGGUGUACGAGCAGCGGGUGCCCCUCCUGGCUGUGGACAGGAUCUCCCUCGCAGUGCAGAAAGGGGAGUGCUUCGGCCUGCUGGGCUUCAAUGGAGCCGGGAAGACCACGACUUUCAAAAUGCUGACCGGGGAGGAGAGCCUCACUUCUGGGGAUGCCUUUGUCGGGGGUCACAGAAUCAGCUCUGAUGUCGGAAAGGUGCGGCAGCGGAUCGGCUACUGCCCGCAGUUUGAUGCCUUGCUGGACCACAUGACAGGCCGGGAGAUGCUGGUCAUGUACGCUCGGCUCCGGGGCAUCCCUGAGCGCCACAUCGGGGCCUGCGUGGAGAACACUCUGCGGGGCCUGCUGCUGGAGCCGCAUGCCAACAAGCUGGUCAGGACGUACAGUGGUGGUAACAAGCGGAAGCUGAGCACCGGCAUCGCCCUGAUCGGAGAGCCUGCUGUCAUCUUCCUGGACGAGCCGUCCACUGGCAUGGACCCCGUGGCCCGGCGCCUGCUUUGGGACACCGUGGCACGAGCCCGAGAGUCUGGCAAGGCCAUCGUCAUCACCU
rnacentral:sRNA from 1 species